UACAGAGGUCCCAAGCGUUGUUCGGAUUCACUGGGCGUAAAGGGUGCGUAGGCGGUCGGGUAAGUCUGAUGUGAAAUCUCCAAGCUUAACUUGGAAAUGGCAUCGGAUACUAUUCGGCUCGAGGAAUGGAGGGGAGACUGGAAUACUUGGUGUAGCAGUGAAAUGCGUAGAUAUCAAGUGGAACACCAGUGGCGAAGGCGGGUCUCUGGACAGUUCCUGACACUGAGGCACGAAGGCCAGGGGAGCAAACGGG
rnacentral:rRNA from 1 species